rnacentral:misc_RNA from 1 species
GAUGAAGAACGUAGCGAAAUGCGAUAAGUAAUGUGAAUUGCAGAAUUCAGUGAAUCAUCGAAUCUUUGAACGCACAUUGCGCCCCUUGGUAUUCCGAGGGGCAUGCCUGUUCGAGCGUCAUUAUAACCCCUCAAGCUCAGCUUGGUGUUGGGGCCUGCUGCACUGGCAGCCCUUAAAAUCAGUGGCGGCGCCAUCUGGCUCUAAGCGUAGUAAUUCUUCUCGCUAUGGAGUCCUGGUGGAUGCUUGCCAUCAACCCCCAAUUUUUCUAUGGUUGACCUCGGAUCAGGUAGGGAUACCCGCUGAACUUAAGCAUAUCAAUAAGAGGAGGA